UACAGAGGUGGCGAGCGUUAUUCGGAAUUAUUGGGCGUAAAGGGCGCGUAGGCGGCUAGGCAAGUCCUGGGUGAAAUCCCUCGGCUCAACCGAGGAACUGCCUUGGAAACUGCCUGGCUAGAGGCCGGGAGAGGGUAGCGGAAUUCCCAGUGUAGCGGUGAAAUGCGUAGAUACUGGGAGGAACACCAGUGGCGAAGGCGGCUACCUGGACCGGUUCUGACGCUGAUGCGCGAAAGCGUGGGGAGCAAACAGG
rnacentral:rRNA from 1 species